CAAUAGCGUAUAUUAAAGUUGUUGCAGUUAAAAAGCUCGUAGUUGGAUUUCUGGUAGGAGUGACCGUCCCAGACUUGAUUGUCUGUGUAUUGUGUUGUCUCCAGCCAUCCUUGUGGAGAACUUUUCUUGCAUUAAUUUGUAGGGAUUGGGACCCGCAUCGUUUACUGUGAAAAAAUUAGAGUGUUUAAAGCAGGCAAUCGCUUGAAUACAUUAGCAUGGAAUAAUAAGAUAGGACUUUGGUACUAUUUUGUUGGUUUGCAUACCAAAUUAAUGAUCAACAGGAACAGUUUGAGGAUAUUCGUAUGAACAUGUCAGAGGUGAAAUUCUUGGAUUUUGAUCAGACGAACUACUGCGAAAGCAUUUAUCAAGGAUGUUUUCAUUAA
rnacentral:rRNA from 1 species